ACAGAUUUUAACAGUAAAAUCAGGAGAAGAAGAUUAUCGUGAUACAUCUCACCUGCUAAGACAGGCCUCACCUUAUAUGGAAAUCAAGUUUAAUAAUGCUGAAGACCCUUCAAAUAUUCCGAACAAAAGGCAAAUCCAGUCUUUGUCUAGAACUGAGCAGCGCAAAAGAAUGAAAUUAACCGGUUCUGAGUCUUGCGUGCGGCACAAAGAAUCUACAAGGUGGAAUUAAGUAGUGGUUCAAAACCGUGUAAUGUUGACACUGCAGAUGGAGAGAGAAACCAUCAGAUUAUGCAGAGUUUUGCUAAAGCUAUAUGGAAUGUUUUGAAGGAUUACAACAAAAAACUAAAGGUUGCAGAUGAACUUGUAGCAGAGUUUUCUGACCCUAUCAAUGGUGUCACAUCCCCUGAUCAAAUUGACGAGGUGCGCAUUGAAGUGGCUGAUUAUAUACAGAGUUUGAUGUAGAAAUGUGACUGCCAAGAUGUUUUUUGAGUAAGGCUAGCUAGUUUUGGCUUUGAAGCAAAGCUUGGUGUGGAGCUUUUGUACAUUGUUGCUCAUAUGUUUUCAAGCUAGCUUUUGUAAGUUUAGGGGUUUAUUUUGUGAAUUAUGUUGAAUCAUGAAUUUGGAAAGAAAAUUAAUGGGAA